rnacentral:rRNA from 1 species
AUUGAACGCUGGCGGCAGGCCUAACACAUGCAAGUCGAACGAGUGGCGGACGGGUGAGUAAUGUCUGGGAAACUGCAUGAUGGAGGGGGAUAACUACUGGAAACGGUAGCUAAUACCGCAUACCAUCGGAUGUGCCCCGAGGGGAUUAGCUAGUCGGUGGGGUAACGGCUCACCUAGGCGACGAUCCCUAGCUGGUCUGAGAGGAUGACCAGCCACACUGGAACGGAGACACGGGCCAGACUCCUACGGGAGGCAGCAGUGGGGAAUAUUGCACAAUGGGCGCAAGCCUGAUGCAGCCAUGCCGCGUGUAUGAAGAAGGCCUUCGGGUUGUAAAGUACUUUCAGCGGGGAGGCGUUACCCGCAGAAGAAGCACCGGCUAACUCCGUGCCAGCAGCCGCGGUAAUUC